UGUAGUCAUAUGCUUGUCUCAAAGAUUAAGCCAUGCAUGUCUAAGUAUAAGCAAUUAUACCGUGAAACUGCGAAUGGCUCAUUAAAUCAGUUAUCGUUUAUUUGAUAGUACCUUACUACUUGGAUAACCGUGGUAAUUCUAGAGCUAAUACAUGCUGAAAACCCCAACUUCGGGAGGGGUGUAUUUAUUAGAUAAAAAACCAACGCCCUUCGGGGCUUCUUGGUGAUUCAUGAUAACUUCACGGAUCGCAUGGCCUUGCGCCGGCGACGGUUCAUUCAAAUUUCUGCCCUAUCAACUUUCGAUGGUAAGGUAUUGGCUUACCAUGGUUUCAACGGGUAACGGGGAAU
rnacentral:rRNA from 1 species